UUGAGUUAGCAAAUAAUGACCAGUUAACAAUGUUUUAUUUGAUGAUUCAGGACAAUAUCAGCCGGUUCAUUGAUCAAAGUGGUGGGAAGCUCCCGAAAACACCCUUUCCAAACAGAAUUUAUUUUUGAGAUCUCUUUAUUUUUCAUCAUUAUGAAGGUUGAUUUUACCUGUUUCACUUGAAUGGUGACCUUCCCACACUCCCAAUUUUUGCUUAGGAUUCUCGUUUAAAUGGUGAGCGCUCAGAUUCUGAAUGUCGGAUCUUUAGUACUGUUUAUUAUUUUAAGAAAAUAUGAGUAAUGUGAUUUUGUUCUCUAGAGACUGGAAUUGAAUAAUAGGUCCUUUUGGUACUGUCAUCUUACCAUUUGUUCCUAACAGAUGCAUGGGUUCGACUAUGCAUUAUCAUAUGUUUUGUUUCAAAGGUAAUAUGCCCUAAAUCAUUUACUGAACUUUCAGUUCUUUUUUGGAACCAGGCGAGUAUAAACAAUUUGUUAUCUGCCAUCCUAAAUUGUUUCCCAUGCCAUCCAUGUAAGUUUUAGUACCUUUCCAUGUAGGUAGUGGGCGAUCAAGUGUGUGCAUUUCAUGACAUAAAUUUACUUUGUUUUGUUUCAAAGGUAAUAUGCCCUAAAUCAUGUACUGAACUUUCAGUUCUUUUUCGGAACUAGGUGAGUAAAAACAAUUUGUUAUCUGCCAUCCUGAAUUAUUUUCCAUGCCAUCCAUGUAAUUUUUAGUACAUUAUACUUAGUUUGGUGUAUGAGAGUAGUUUGUAACUGAAGAAUGGCUGCAACUGGUUCAGUGACUAAGAUUAUUUCAGGAAUAAUGUACAUUUGGUGCUCCCAGCACUUAAUUUUGGACGUUGAAUACUACUCUUGCUUUGACAACUCACUGAUUUUAUUAGGAAACCUUAUCUGUUAAUACUUUCUUGUCAAACUCACAACAAGUUAUAAUAAUCAAACUAUAUAGUGAUGUUGAGGGAUUAACCAGGACAAAUGCUAGCCAACGUCCCAUUGAGUAGGCCUUCCCAGGCUCCUUGAGUAGCUGGCUCCACUGGGUACAUAGCCGAUUACCUUAUGUGUGGUUUCUUUAAUCACCGAUUGGUUAUUGGGAAUCCGAAUCUGCGAUUAGUAUGCAGUAGUAAAGAGGUUUCUGUUUGCAAAAGAAAGCAAGUUUAUGUACUUUGUCUCCACUGCCAGCAUAGAAAAAUUGUUUAUGUUGUAUUGCUGGGAUAAAUGUGUCUUAUACGUUGUUUUGUUCUUAUAGUCACAACCGAGAUAUUGUGGUGCUUGAUUUCUUCCUAUGUAUUUGUUUUCUUUUUCGUGAUUUCCUAUAUAUUUGUUGUAUAAACUGAACCUAAUUAACGUGUGUAAUGAUGAAGCACGUUGGGUGCAGAUGAGGAUGAAAUGAGCCAGGGAGAAAUAUUGCUGGUAGAAAAACAGGCCUCCCAUGCCAUCCUGACCAAAAAUGUAUUCCCCGAUUUGGUUAAACAGUCCUGUAUUAGCCCCUGGCUGCCUCAACUGGUGGAUGCCGUCGGCUGCCCAAUGACCAUCAACACAUAUGAGCUCGGUUUAAUCAGAGGUGAGGCCUUGCUUCUUCUGCAGUUUUCUUCUCUUCUUUUGUGUGGAUUUGCAUCUAGCAAAAUUGAAAUUUCAUGGUGGGUCAGUUUGGAGGCUUCAUAUUUCACAAUUAUUAUUGUGUGGUUCACCCUAGAAUUUGAUUUUAACGCGUGCUUGCGCAUAUUUGGUUAGGAUUUUCAUGCUUGUUUUUAUAUGUAAUUGCUAUGUUUCGAGGCUACUUAUUUUAUUUAACCCAUUAUUUGCCAUUUGAAAAUAAUUUUGGCAUUGACAGUUGCUAAUUACAAAUGCUUAUCAUUGGUUACCGUGUAAUUCUUGCUUGGUUUUUGGUGCGAUUUCAUCUUAGUUUAUACUUGUGUAUGGACCACCCACGUUUUGUGAAACAAUAGUACACCCAAAAGGAGAAGUUGUUGAGAUGAUAGUCAUGACAACCUAUAACACAGGCGCUGUGCUUGAAGCUCAUGAGUAAGAAGACAAGAAAAAACCAUGCUAAAGCUGGAGGGAUUCGCAGAAAAUGCAUAUGAAAAAAAUCACUAGGAAAUCUACCUUCACUACAUUUUGGAGUGUAGAACAUGGACCAUAUGGGUCCAAGUAGAGAACAUAAAUAUCCACUGCUAUUUCUAUUUUCAUCAGUAAAUUUUGAUAUUGUUUCGGACAAUAGAUAACCUAGGCUUCGUAGCUGGUAAUAUUUAUCAUAGUUUUAGUCUAAUGUACUUUUCUGUAGCAGUGCUGCCAUGAAGUUCAGUCUACAAACCUCUGUUGUGUAAACAUAGUGCUGAUCUGCUGAACUAAAAUUAUGGCCCUGCUUACCUGUGGUGCUGCACUUUACAACAAUUCUACUUGUUCUUUCAUAGCCCACCUUAUGUGUGCCAUCUUCUACUCUUCCCUCCAUCUCAAAAUAAGUUCUCAAGUUUGUACUAACUUUAGUACGAAGUUAGUACAAACUUGAGUCACUUAUUAUUGUUCCAUGGUUUUUUUAGUUAUUGAUGAUGCCAUUUUUCUUUCUGCCUUUGUAGCUGAAAGAUUAGUGAGACUGACUAAAUUCUGAACAUGUUCCAUGUGAGAGAAAUAGCAUGUUGAUUUCAUCUUGAAAUAAUCAUAGCUGAGGGACGAGUCCGUAACUGAGGGUCAUGUGCAGAGCUGGAGGAAGAAGUUGCGAGGCUUGGAACUCUAACAGCAGUGAGGACAAUGCCUCUUUAGUUGUAAUUGUGAUACUCCUGAUGUGCAAGUAAACACUCCUGUGACACUCCUUAUGCUAAAAUGUUGGUUGUUAGUACAGAGGUGGUAACAUUAUUUGGUUCUCUUGUAUUGAUUUCAUAAUACAUGAUGUAAUACAAUCCACAUUGCAUUAUAUUUCGAGUUAUAUCUCCUACUUACUCACUACUAACAUUCUUUCUAAUUCGCUUCUUGCGCCAUUGGCGCAACCGGGUCAUCUAGUA
rnacentral:lncRNA from 1 species